GUUCUCCGGAUUAAAAGUCUUGUACUCAAACUAGAACUAGAAGGAGGAAAAAAUCUUAGAUUAUUUAAGGGCCUAAAUCGAAGUGCAGCUAUCAGAUGGUGUUCUAGCUUCUUAGAGUGAUAUUAAUACUCCAAUUCUGCAACCUCUUUCUAUUCCUAACCGUUUCUGGUUUUUCCAAGCUUUUGCAAUUCGAGGGCUCGAUUGUGAAAGGGUCAUUGGUUAUGCAACUAUUAGAUUAUUGAUAACUGAAUAUUACAGUCAGAGAGUAUGGUAAAUCAGCCACAAGCAACAAGUUCUGCCACACCGGUCCUGAAUACUGAGGAUCAAGUAGCAAGUGCCUCUUCUACUGUGAACUUGAUAGAUUCAUUGCAGAAACAAUAUCUCAAAAUCAAAGAGAAUGCAGAAACCUACCCUUAUGUAUGGGCUUCCUAUAUUGUUGUAUAUGGUGGCUUUGGUAUAUGGACUGCAUAUAGAUGGAAAAAGCUUCGAAAAACCGAAGACAGAGUAAAGAAUCUUCAAGAGAAACUACGAAAGCUUGUUGAAACUGAAGAAUCUGCUAUUUCUACUUCUACCAAAGUGGUUGAAAAGGGUUCUACAUCUUCUGAAACGCCUUCCAAGUAGCCUACAGUUUCAAUAUUCCUUGCCCAAGGCCAAGUAGACUGGUCUUUUGAGCCUCAAUAUCACUUUCUUUACCAUAAUGGUGGCUGGGACUGACAUUUCAUGUUGCUUCUCUAAGCAACUGAUUACAUUGAUAUUUUUAGAAAUUGUUUAAAGUUUAAACUUCAAGUUUGAUAACUUUCCUUCCAAAGAAAGUUCUGUGAUAGUUUUACA